GCCCGGGUGGUGAAAUUGGUAUACACGGAUGACUUAAGAUCAUCUGCCGUAAGGCGUGCGAGUUCAAGUCUCGCCCCGGGCACCA
rnacentral:tRNA from 1 species